AUGUCCAAGGAUGGGCCAUCUCACAAGCCUAAGAUCCCAGACAGCAGGGCCAGCACCACAGCCCCAUCCGUCUUCCCCUUGGCUCCCAGCUGUGGAGUCAGUUCUGGCUCCACGGCGUCCCUGGGCUGCCUGGUCAGCGGCUUCUUCCCCGAGCUGGUCACCGUGUCAUGGAAGUCCGGAGCGGCCGAGUUGACCAGCGGCGUGCGCACCUUCCCAUCUGUUCUGAAGUCAGGGCUCUACUCACUCAACAGCAUGGUGACGGUGUCCUCCAGCACCUGGCCCAGCCAGACCGUCACCUGCCAUGUAGUCCACCCGGCCAGCAACACCAAGGUGGACAAGAUCAUUGCCCCAGUAACCAAAACCUUGUUUCUGCAGAGCCUACAAGAGAAAACUCUCCGCCGCAAAGUCCCAAGGGCCCAGCCCCAGGACACCCUCACGAUUUCUCUGACCCCCAAGGUCACAUGUGUGGUAGUAGACCUGAGCCAGGAUAACCCUAACGCUGAGAUCACCUGGUUUAUGGACAAUGUGGAGGUACACGAGGCCCAGACCCAGCGCCCAGAACAGCAGUACAACAGCACACUCCGAGUGGUCAGCGUCCUGCCCAUCCGGCACCAGGACUGGCUGUCGGGAAAGGAGUUCAAGUGCAAAGUCAAGAACAAGGACCUCCCAGCCCCCAUCGAGAAAACCAUCUCCAAAGUCAAAGGGCAAGCCCGAGAGCCACAAGUGUAUGUCUUGCCACCACCGAGAGAGGAGAUGACCAACCCAAAGCUCAGCCUGACCUGCUUGGCACAAGGGUUCUACCCUGAGGAUAUCUUUGUGGAAUGGAGCAGCAAUGGCCAGCCAGAGGAGAACUACAAGAGCACCUCGCUCGUCUUGGACUCCGAUGGGUCCUACUUCCUCUACAGCAAGCUGCCAGUAGACAAGAGCAGGUGGGAGAGAGGAGACAGCUUCACCUGCUCCGUGAUGCACGAGGCCCUGCACAACCACUUCACGCAGAAGACCAUCUCCCGGUCUCCGGGUAAAUGA